AAGUUAUUAAGGGCGUACGGGGGAUGCCUAGGCUCUCAGAGACGACGAAGGACGUGAUAAGCUGCGAAAAGCUACGGGGAGGUGCAAAUAACCAUUGAUCCGUAGAUGUCCGAAUGGGGCAACCUAGUAUUGUGAAGCAAUACUGCAUAGCGUUAACCCGGGGAACUGAAACAUCUAAGUACCCGGAGGAAAAGAAAUCGAAGAGAUUCCCUGAGUAGCGGCGAGCGAAACGGGACUAGCCUAAAGCUGUAAAGUUAGUGGAAGUGUUCUGGAAAGGCACACCAAAGAAAGUGAAAGUCUUGUACACGAAAGCAAUACAGUGGAAUUAAGUAGGGCGGAACACGAGAAAUUCUGUCUGAAGAUGGGGAGACCAUUCUCCAAGGCUAAAUACUCCUGAGAGACCGAUAGUGAACCAGUACCGUGAGGGAAAGGCGAAAAGAACCCCGGAGAGGGGAGUGAAAUAGAACCUGAAACCGUAUGCGUACAAGCAGUGGGAGCCUACUUGUUAGGUGACUGCGUACCUUUUGUAUAAUGGGUCAGCGACUUAAUCUAACGAGCAAGCUUAAGCCGAUAGGUGUAGGCGCAGCGAAAGCGAGUCUUAAUAGGGCGCUUUAGUUCGUUGGAUUAGACCCGAAACCGAGUGAUCUAGCCAUGAGCAGGUUGAAGGUGCGGUAACACGCACUGGAGGACCGAACCCACCUCUGUUGAAAAAGGGCGGGAUGACUUGUGGCUAGGGGUGAAAGGCCAAUCAAACUCGGAAAUAGCUGGUUCUCCGCGAAAUCUAUUUAGGUAGAGCGUCAUCCGAAUACCCCGGGGGGUAGAGCACUGGAUGGGUAAUGGGGCCCCACAGGCUUACUGAUCCUAACCAAACUCCGAAUACCCGGGAGUACUAGAUGGCAGACACACGGCGGAUGCUAACGUCCGUCGUGGAGAGGGAAACAACCCUGACCUCCAGCUAAGGCCCCUAAUUCAUGGCUAAGUGGGAAAGCAGGUGGGACGACCAAAACAACCAGGAGGUUGGCUUAGAAGCAGCCAUCCUUUAAAGAUAGCGUAACAGCUCACUGGUCUAAACAAGUUGUCCUGCGGCGAAGAUGUAACGGGGCUCAAGCCAUGAGCCGAAGCUGAGGAUGCACAUAGUGCAUGGUAGCGGAGCGUAGUGUGA
rnacentral:rRNA from 1 species